GUUUACACAGAUAUUUUCACAUUGUUAAGAUUUCAAGGACUCUAGCUGUUGAAAGUAGUGUUUGUGAUUGCACUUCUCGGUGUGUCUUGAGCUAUUUUGGAUUUGUAAUAUUGACUUUUUCCUCGAUUUUAGAUACUUAUUCAUCAGUAUGGAAAUAUAAAUGUGGGUCAAACACUAUAGCAUCAGCAUUCGCACAAAAUAAUUCAAACAAAUUGGACGUACAUUUGUAUAUAGGUCAGAUAGGUCAUUGAACAAUGGACCUGAAUCAUUCGUGUUUUCUCAUAUUUUUUUUUGUUUCCCUGAAAUUUUAUAGUGAUGUUUGCACCAUUUAAAAUGCAUACAAGAAUAAGGAGAUAUAGUAUGAUUGCAAGUGAUAAAGAUAUCUAUUGAUAGUAUAAAAUACAGAUAUGAACAACCAUAUUGUAUAGCAAGCUUAAGAAGACCUUGUGAUGAAUAAAUGUAAAACAGUACAUUUAAAGACAAAACUAAUGGCUUAAUUAUACGAAGAACAAUAUGGCAAAUAAGAACAAACGACAACCACUACAAUAGCCUUCAAAUAGUUGACCGCC
rnacentral:lncRNA from 1 species